rnacentral:lncRNA from 1 species
GAAGAAAGAAAAGAAGGGCAACAACCAGGGGAAGAAUAUGGAUGAAUCAGUCCAAAUUUAUCAUCAUCACUGUGCCUUUCUGGUGACAGGUCAGUGGUGAUAAUGCUCUUUGAGGAUGACUCCCUGCAGUACUAACGGAAGCACAAAAGUGCCAGAACUGGAUGACAGCUCACUUAUUUCAGGCUAGAAAAAAAUCUGGGCACACUAGGGUGAAUGAUAAGCUCCUUGGCAUGCUAGCCAAAAUCAGCUUAAAAGAGGGCUACCUGGGUACAAGAGAACCCUUAUUUUGGGUUGAAAAGCAGAAGCUUCCCAAGAGGGAAGAUACACUGAAGCUGAAGGUGUGGCAGUCCCCCCAACCAAUUAGACUGGGGAUGAAGGCUGCUUAGUUGGACUAGGAAAAGUAAUGGAUACUGGAUUCCAGAGUGGGCAAUGUUGGGAGGAGCAAGGUAGAAUGUGAUUUAAAGGGACUAAGAAAUUUUGGGCUGAGCUAGGCUAUAGGAGAAUGGUAGACAGACCUGAGGAUUUUGCUGGGCUGUGUCAGUCUGGGUUAUAGAAGUGGGUGGAAAUUACAACUAAGGGACUUGGAGAUGAGGGGAGGUAAGAAGACAGAUCUGAUGGUAUUGAGGUAGGGGCUGCUAAGAGAAGCAUCAAACAGGAGGGCUAGCCCAGGUUUGAGCUGGACACUCCACUGACAGUUCUAAAGCAGAAAAUUAGGGAAGGAAUAGUCAGGGGCUUAUCAGCUAUGCAGUAGCUUCUAGAAGUCAACAGCUGGCUCUGGGAGGGAAAAGAUUGAGAAAAACAAAAGAAAUAAAUAAGAGCAGAAGGUAUAGGGGAAAAGGUAGGGGUGAGAGUUAUCAGUCUGGUUAGAGCUGGGCUAAACAUUUAGUCUUACCAUCAGUUUAAAAGCACCUGGACCAGUUAGUUGCUGUACAGGCAAAGUCAAAGGGAGAAGCCUGGCCUCUCUCUACUCAGUCAAGGUUCAUGACUUUAGGAGACUGCAAUGAACCAGGCAUACCAGGAAAGGAAAAGGUUAACUGAGGUUGAAAAAAAAACUUUAUGUGGCACUUUUAAACAAGCAGGUUGGUUUGGCUUGUGUGACUAUGAUGGUGCCUGAUUUUGAGCAGAGCAAUUUGUGUUGUGACAUUUUAAAAUCCAUUCUGGCACUUGGUGAUGAAUGUGUUGGCUGGCAGCUAAGAACUUGCUAGAAUGCAAGUAUGCAAGUCUUCACCAUUUAUAAUCGACACUUCCUUUCCAGGAAAGAGCCUUUCUAAUCUUUGAAUCAGUGGAUUUAUCAAUUUGCAUAAAAUAUGCCAUCCUCAAUGAACACAUUUAUCAUCUACCACUUAACUUUCCUUCUGUUAAAAAAAAAAAAAAAGCAGAAUCACCUUCCUGUGAGUCAGCAGCUUUAAAUUCAGCUGUGCUGGGUGAAGCUGUUAAGGGUAGGAAGGAGCCAUCACUAGAAGGGGGAGAAGCAGGAAUAAAAUGAUCUUUUCUAUUUCCAUGAUUUUUUAUGUUUCUGUUUAAAUGGUUAAAUACCCAAUUAGGUUAGAUGCUAAUUAAAUGUAAAAUUACUGGGCUGUUCCAAUAUGCAUGUUAAAGUUGUACUUCUUGGUUGUUUGUAAUUUACCUAACUCUUGAGAGAUCAUCAGAGCAGCCCAGCUGAGUUUAAAGAAGGCUUCCAACUGCCCAGGAUAUGCAUCAGUUCCUGAACAAAAAAAGAACACCCCAGGAUCAACAGAAGCUACUAUCAAAUCCUUCAAACACUACAUGCACCACAUGCUCACAUUUGUCCUAUUUUUGCUACUAUUUAUCCACAAAAAAGCCAAGCCUGAACUCCUUCUUGAGGCCAAAACUUAAAAAUAUACCAAAUGAAUCAGUUCAAAAUUUUACAAAUUUGGUUUGGCUUAAUCAUAACUGAUUCUUCAUACUAUUGACACCGUUGAUUCUUCACACUAUAGAUACCACUCACUAAAAUUACAACUCAGUCACCUCUUCCCAUAUACCAUAUUUCAUUAAAAUCAAUGUAAGAUAAGAAAUGGUUACCAGAUGCCAUCGUUUCAGACCAAACCAUAUGUCAAAUUUUGAAUAAACCUAACAACAUCUGAUUGGUUAAGUAGCAUACCUAGAUUUAUUAAAAUCACUACACUCCUUUAAUGUCUGUAGGAGAACAUGCAUGCACAAGCACACACACGUUGUGUGUGCAUUUAUAUAUAUAUAUAUAUAUAUAUAUAUAUAUAUAUAUGUAUAUGCUACUGCAAAAUUGAAGAGACUUUACCAAGUUCUGUCAUUGACAGGGACAUUAUAUAUAAAGAAUAUACAUACUGUAAUUCACCUCAUCAAGAGUUAAUUUUAUGGCCGGGCACAGUGGCUCACACCUGUAAUCCUAACACUUCGGGAGGCAGAUCACUUUGAGCUCAGGAGAUUUGAGACCAGCCUGGGCAACGUGGCAAAAACCCAUCUCUACAGAAAAAUACAAAAAUGAGCUGGGCGUGGUGACUCCCGCCUGUAGUCCCAGCUGUAUACAUGGGAGGCUGAGGCUGGAGGAUUGCUUGAGCCAGGUAGCAGAGGUUGCAGUGAGCCAAGAUUGUACCAGUGCACUCCGCCCUGGGUGACAGAGCAAGACCUUGUUUCAAAAAAAAAAAAAAGAGUUAAUUGUACCAGGAACAUGUGGUGUCAAAAUUUAAAAUAUGUGAACUCUUUGACCCAGCAAUGCUAUUUUCAGGGAUAUAUCCUAAGAUCAUCACCAGCAAAGUAUAUAAGGAUGUGCAUGCAAAAAUAUUCAUCAUGGCUUUCUUUAUACAAUGAAAAAUUGGAAAUAAACUUCUCAUUAAUGGGAUGCUGGUUAAAGAAAAUCAUUACUGUAAUAUGCAGCCAUCUAAAAGGGUAAUUUAUAUGUAUAUAUAUUUACAUAAGAAAACCCUCAUGUCAUAUUGCUGAGUAAAAAGAAAGAUGUCAAUGAGUAUUCAUGAUGUGAUUCUAUUUAUCCUUGCAAAUGGUGGAAAUUCAAUUAUAUGGUAUUUUCUCUCUUUUCUGUUUGUUUUUCAUAUAUGUAUAUAUUUCCUUUGAAAUCAGAAAAAAAUCAAGCUAUUUUCAUCAGAGGAAAAAAAUCAUUACUCUGUAUUUCAGUCACACUAAAAUAGUC